rnacentral:rRNA from 1 species
CCUACGGGUGGCAGCAGUGAGGAAUAUUGGUCAAUGGCCGGAAGGCUGAACCAGCCAAGCCGCGUGAAGGACGAAGGUGCCAAGCAUUGUAAACUUCUUUUGUCAAGGGACAAAAUCAGGCUCGAGAGCCUGACCGAGGGUACUUGAAGAAAACGCAUCGGCUAACACCGUACCAGCGGCCGCGGUAAUACGGAGGAUGCGAGCGUUAUCCGGAUUUAUUGGGUUUAAAGGGUGCGUAGGCGGACUGUUAAGUUAGCGGUAAAAGCCCGGUGCUCAACUCCGGCGGGACGUUGAAUCUGGCUGUCUUGAGAGGACGAGAGGGAUGCGGAAUGCGCGGGGUAGCGGUGAAAUGCUUAGAUAUUGCGAAGAACUCCGAUGGCGAAGGCAGCAUACCGGCGGUGAUCGGACGCUGAGGCACGAAAGCGUGGGUAGCGAACAGGAUUAGAUACCCCUGUAGUC